CCAGGCGUGUGCAUUUAUAUGCAGAGUGACCAAGAAACUUCAGUAAUACUAGUUUGUGUCUUUGGAGUCCCACUUUUUGCCAGGGCUAGUGCUAACAGCUUCAGGAGAAUUCAGCCUCACCUUGACAGGACAUGCUCUGGAGUCAGAAGACAGCGAAAAGAGAAGCAGAAGCCCCGGUGGCAAGAGUCUGAAGCAGGAAGGAUGACUGUAGCCUGUGGAUUGUACUGCAGUAGGAAACUGUCCUAGCAAGGCUCCACUUUGCCCCAGCUUCAAGCUGGAAAGGAGGAGAACAUGAAACAUUGCUUGAAGACAAUGGCCGAGACAGCAGGUCCCACCCUGCACAGCCACCAGCAUCUCUCCCCUCAGCCCUGUCUCCUCUUCUGCAGUUGGGAUCUGCACAUUUAAGCCUGAAAUUGUCCUGUGAAGUGAAGUAUGAUCGGACAGCCUCUUUUCAGCUUUUAUGACAAUGGAGACAGAGGAAUUGUGGCUCUUGCCAAGGUCACAGGAUUGGAAUACAGAGCCAAGCCACCCCAGGACAUGCAAGAGCCUCAGAAGGGAAAAAAGCCCAGCAGGAAGGGAGAACAAGUAGCCUCUGUCCUGAAGUUGUAACAGCCAGGGGCCAGGAUGGAGGAGGAGGACCCCAUAAUCUGCCCAUCUGGGACUUGGCAGGGGACCUGGGAAAAUGUACCCCAACCCAUCCCUUAAGGGCCUUUGUCUUUGGCCCAUUGGCCUAGCAUCUACUUCUUCACCGUGUCUGUUCUUGUCACACCUAGUCAGGUCUGUUUGGGUCUGAGGUGCAUGGAACAUUCUGGGUAGGCCUCCAGCAAACGGAAGCUCUUCACCGUGUUUCCAGCCUGGGACCAAGGGCAGCAUACUGGCAAAGUUGCCAAAGCAAGGGACUCCAGCCUCUUAGGAGUUAAUGACUCCCUCUCCCCAGCUGUCCUCCCCUUGGUGCUCCUCUUCCUCCCUCCUCCUGCUCACAGCAGGCAGGGCCUAGACCCGGGAGCCAUGCUGCUGUGCUGUUGCCAGGGGAGCACGGAGGCAGAUCUGAGCUAUGCAGGGAAAAGGCCCAGCCUGUCAAAGUGUCUGAGAUGAACCGCCGCCGUCCCUGUGCAGCUGGGCUCAGACGUGUCUCAGCUCUUGUUCUGUGCCUGAGAAUGGCGAAACCCAGUGAGGUUCAAGGGCAAACUCGCUAUUCAUUAGUCAGGGGUUCUUGACGUCCCGUCUCUCCCAGGGAUGAGUUCCCCCCUCCUCUUUCUCCCCCUCCUAUGACACAUUCCUGGGUGCCUUUGGUGAGGACUGCACACCCUCCUCCUGCCUAGCCCCCUCUCCAAAGGCCCCUGAAUAAACUCCCCCCAAGGAGACCAGGCAGGGCAGAGACAAUGGCUGCAGGAAAUCAUUCAGGCGGGACAUGCUGGCCUGCCCUCCACCCAGUCCCCCUGUGGGCCCCACUCCCUUCUGAUUCAGGGCACCCUUGGGCCCCCAGCCUAUACAGGCCUGGACAGGAAGAAACCACUGGGAACCACCCUAAGGACAACAUGCUAGUCCAGUGCCAUUCUUCGCUGGCUCUGUGGGUGCCUUUGUGGCCUGUACCGACUGGCUGGCUAAUUUUGUGGUUUCUGUACCAUCACAUGCCUAUUUUAAGACACUCUCCAGCACUGUCGGUUAGGGAGUGUAAAUUUUGCAAUAUUUUCUGAAAUGUGGCAAUAUCAAAAUGUAAAAGGCACACAUACUUGGUCACAAACAAAUGGCACUAUUUACUCUGUGGGCAUAUUUGUAAAAGUUGCCAAAGAAUUAUAUACAAGGAUGUUCAUCAGAGCAUUUCUUUUGAAGAGUAAAGAAAUGGACAUGAACCUGUGGUCCGUUCAUACGGUGGAAUACCUAUGCAGCUGUAAAAAUCAGUGUGGUAGAUCUCCGUAUAUGAGUUGAUGUGGAAGGUUGGCCAGUUCACAUGAUAAGGUGAAUAGAAUAAGUUACAGAACAGGCUGUAGAGUAUGAUCUUAUUUGUAGAUGUUUAAAACUGAGUCAUAAGUAUGCUUAUAUACAGAUCGUUUCUGGAAGUAUGUACUGGAAGUCUACCUCUGGGGAGUGGGGAUGGGGGAGUGCACUCUUCUAUACUGUUAUAUUUUCUUUUCAUGCUCCUAAGGUACUUUUAUUGGAAGAUGUAAAGCGGUUCAAUGUAAUAGGCUUAACUUCUGUCAACUAAGUUGGCGUGGGUGCUUUAAGAGGGUGGUAGUGAUGUUGCUGGAGAAAGUAUCCCACAGUCACUGGUGGCUUCAGCCACGGGCCAUUUUGGGGCCUAAUAAUCACAUAUCAUCAUGGUUGCUAGUGUUAAUCGAAAACCUACUAAGUGCCAGGCUUACUGUCUCUGGGUCUUGCUUACGUGGAUGUCAUUUUUCCAGUUGCACCAAAUCGAAAGAGGUUAAUUGGUUUGUUGGAGUUCCUUUGUAGGUGAAGGGCAGAGCCAGGAGCUUGGCUAGGGACAGGGGAGGUGAGUGGGGGAUGGUGGAUAGGUCUUGGCUCCCAGUUUCCUUCUGGGCAGACAUUGCCCCUCUGCCCUGAGGACCUGCUUGUUUGGGGGAAGAGGCCUUUAGAGGCACCAGGGUCAUGCCAGGUGUUGGACAUGGUGAACUGGGAAGUGCUCCCAUCUGGCCACAGCGCAGAAGUAUCACCGUGCUGGGGGAUGGGGAACAGGGCUGUGAAUGGGCCUAUUUGCAUAAGCAGCAUGUGUCUGGAGAGAAAGACAUCACAGAGCAGAAGAGUGCGGGUGCCCAGGAGUGCACUUGCCACCCCUACUUCAUCCCUGAAAGAGUAAAUGGCCUGGAAGGUGUCUCUGAGAGGUAAUGCCGCACACCACCCUCCCUGGGGGCAGGGUCAGGCUACACCUGCCUUAGGUCGGGGGCUGCAGCAGCCUGAGAGCUCUCAGUAGGGCCUCAGUAGCCUGGGAGGGAGCAGGGGCAGGGGGCAGGGAAAGAGGCGUAAUGGGGCUGUCCAGAGGGGCCUGGGAAACCUGGUCCCUGAGGCCUGGGCACAGCUACAAUCACUUCAAAUUGGCUGUGGGGCCAGUGGACUGGGAAGGAAAAAAGCAAUAAGAGUGACCAAGUGCAGAAGGCUGUCAGGUCCCAGGUCACAUGCCUUAGUGCAGUGACUCCUCAUCAUUUUAUGGGGUGUGGGUGUCGUUGGUACACCCAUUUUACAGAUGAGGACACCGAGGCCCAGAAAAGUUAAGUUACAUGUCCUAAGUCACACAGCUUGUAAGUGCCAGAACUGAGAUCAAAACCAAGUCUCUUUGACUUUAAAGUCUGUACUCUGACCCCAAAGAGAUCCUGUUUGGCCACUUAUAGGAGGUCCCUAAAGCUGCAGACUCCCCUUGCCGGCACCCACAUAUAGAGACAUUAACCCUUCCCCUGCAGGGUCACCUCAAAUAGUCUUUUAGCUGGGCUUCUCCUGCAAUUCCACCUAAUGCCAUCCCCUGGGUUUUGCCCAAACCUGAACUGGGCAGUGGGGUGAGAGGAGGGGUUUACAGGGUUACAGAGCCUCAUACAGAUAGGAGCCCAUGGCUGCUGGUCAUCUGCAUUCCUGCAGGAUUGGCUGUUCCUUGGGGUCCUUGGCAGGAAAAUGAGGAUUGCUCCGAGGCCUGCUCCAGUACUUCCCAGAGGCUGGCCUGGUGUGGGGCUCUGGGAAGGCUGAGGCUGGAGAAGCGUAAGUAGGAGGGCAGAGAUGGCACUCAGGUAGCUUGAAUCACCAGGACCCUUCCAAGCCCCACAGGUUCUGAGGGAGUACUAGGGCCAGCUCUGGGAGAGGUCUCUUCCUAUGCUGUGAACCCCCUGCCUUUCU
rnacentral:lncRNA from 1 species